CAUGUGUAGCGGUGAAAUGCGUAGAUAUAUGGAGGANCACCAGUGGCGAAAGCGGCUCUNUGGUCUGUCACUGACGCUGAGGCUCGAAAGCGUGGGUAGCGAACAGGAUUAGAUACCCUGGUAGUNCACGCCGUAAACGAUGAGUGCUAGGUGUUAGGCCCUUUCCGGGGCUUAGUGCCGGAGCUAACGCAAUAAGCACUCCGCCUGGGGAGUACGACCGCAAGGUUGAAACUCAAAGGAAUUGACGGGGGCCCGCACAAGCGGUGGAGCAUGUGGUUUAAUUCGAAGCAACGCGAAGAACCUUACCAGGUCUUGACAUCCCGAUGCUAUUCUUAGAGAUAGGAAGUUACUUCGGUACAUCGGAGACAGGUGGUGCAUGGUUGUCGUCAGCUCGUGUCGUGAGAUGUUGGGUUAAGUCCCGCAACGAGCGCAACCCUUAUUGUUAGUUGCCAUCAUUAAGUUGGGCACUCUAGCGAGACUGCCGGUAAUAAACCGGAGGAAGGUGGGGAUGACGUCAAAUCAUCAUGCCCCUUAUGACCUGGGCUACACACGUGCUACAAUGGUCGGUACAACGAGUUGCGAGCCGGUGACGGCAAGCUAAUCUCUGAAAGCCGAUCUCAGUUCGGAUUGGAGGCUGCAACUCGCCUCCAUGAAGUCGGAAUCGCUAGUAAUCGCGGAUCAGCACGCCGCGGUGAAUACGUUCUCGGGCCUUGUACACACCGCCCGUCACACCACGAGAGUUUGUAACACCCGAAGUCGGUGAGGUANCCUUUUAGGG
rnacentral:rRNA from 1 species